GACGAACGCUGGCGGCGGGCUUAACACAUGCAAGUCGAACGGAAAGGUCCUGCUUUUGGGGGGUGCUCGAGUGGCGAACGGGUGAGUAACACGUUAGUAACCUGCCCUUGACUUUGGGAUAACUUCAGGAAACUGGGGCUAAUACCGGAUAGGAGCUCCUGCUGCAUGGUGGGGGUUGGAAAGAUUCGGCGGUUGGGGAUGGACUCGCGGCUUAUCAGCUUGUUGGGUGGGUAGUGGCUUACCAAGGCCUUGACAGGUAGCCUGGCUGAGAGGGUGACCGGCCACAUUGGGACUGAACUGCGGCACAGACUCCUACGGGAGGCAGCAGUGGGGAAUAGUGCACAAUGGGCGGAAGCCUGGUGCAGCAACGCCGCGUGCGGGAUGACGGCCUUCGGGUUGUAAACCGCUUUCGCCUGUGACGAGGCGUGAGUGACGGUAAUGGGUAAAGAAGCACCGGCUAACUACGUG
rnacentral:rRNA from 1 species